AUCAACAAUCUGUCAGUAACAUUGGUGUCAUGUGAUGCUGUGGGGUGGAGCUUCAUGAACAUUUAUGAUCAUAUCAGAGUACAUAAAGACCUCAGAAUAUUUACAUUCAGCUAAAACCGUUCAUCAUGUUUACUUUUAUAUUCGUGUCUCUGUGGCUUUCACUAGGUGACUCCAUGGCAGAUUCAAUAAAGCCACUUUCCACUCAGAAUGUUGUAGAUGAAGGUGAUGAUGUUACUCUGUCCUGUGAAUAUGUAACAAGUGCUACAGACUUCUCCCUGCAGUGGUACAGGCAAUAUCCAAAAUCUAAACCUGAGUUCCUUCUUUAUAUUUACAAAACUGGAGAUCUAAGUGAAAACCGUCCCCCAAGAAUGAAUGCUACACUUAAAGAUAAGAAAGUGGAUCUGAUCAUCUCCUCUGCUGCUGUAUCAGACUCUGCACUAUAUUACUGUGCUCUGGUG